AAUUUCUACAUGUUAAACAAACAGUCACAGUGUAUUUUGAUAAGUAUUAAUUUUGAAAAAAAUUAGUCAACUAGAAUUCUAAAUUGAUUCAAGAUUGUCAUUCAAAUUUCUAUUACUGUUACAGCUCCCUAUGGGAGAAUAAGAUGUCAUCAUCAUCACUCCUUUGUGGCCCCUGGGGAGCAAAGGGCUGCAACCACACAUCUCCAGCGGACUUGGUUUUGGGCUGCUCCUCUAAUCUUUGCCCAUGAGAGCCCAGCUGUUUUCGCCUCCUCCUCAACCGUUCUCUUCCAUGUUUUCCUUGGCCAGCCCACCCUCCCUGGGGAUUCCAGUCUAAUGCAUGUUUUGAUGAAUAAGAUGUAAGUUGUGUAAAUAGUAGUGUGGAGACCUCAGAGCAACACUUAAUUUCAUGACCAACAGUGAUAAGAUGGUACUAUUCGUAAGUCCUACUUAUUGAUCAACACUACUCAUAUUAUCAUAUAGAGGACAGAGUAGGCAAAUGGUUGAGGACACUAUUGCUAAACAUAAAGCCAAGCCUCCAGGUGUUGUGUAUAUCAAUCAGCCCACUGGAGACAUAUCAAUCUUUUAAUAAAUUAUAAGGUCCCCACUGCUUGAUACUUCACCAAAUACUGGCUACACCAGAAAAUGACUAAAUGUUCUUAACACUUAACAACUACCACAAGCAUUACUUCUGGGUCACUCUGAAGGGUCUAAUCGUUCAAUUACUGAAUUGAUAAAGUUGAUGAAAUUGCUCAAAAGUUUUCUGGCACCUUCUUAACUCAGAGACAUAGGAAUGUGGAUGGAUUAUGACAUACCUUGCACAAAAUCAACAACCAGGCUUUUAUUGGAUUUGAAUCCCAAAGGAAAGAGAAAGUUUGUUAUCCAAAACAAACAUGGAAAAUAUCAGAAACCAACAAAACACAAGCAGGCAGAGUGUUAUGGACCCAACUUUGGGGAAUCUCCUAAAACCAAGUAUAAAAAUAGAGAGGUGUGGUUGUGUCUCUCAGCUCCACAAGGGUCCACAAGAAUGAGGACAACAGUGAUUUUCGUAAUAAUUUUAGAUCAGAUUUAAAAAAAAAAAUUUGAUCAGAUGGAUCAGGUUAACAGUUUAAUACAUAUUGCAUUUAAGUGCUUAACGAAAAGAAAAGAUGCUCUUACCAAAAUAGUCUAAGAACAAUGCUGAUUUUAAAUUAAUAAAUUGUUUCCUUUUGUAAUAAUAUAAUAAUUUAAGUUGGCAUUGUAUGUAUGUUUAGUGUAGAUUUAAUGUCCUAAAUGAAAUAUACAAUUGACAUUUUUUUCUUUAAAGAAUUAGUUGCAAAUUUCUUUCAUUAUUUAGUUUCACUGUACAAUCUGAAAAAAGCUUGCAACAUUUGUAUUGACAAUACUUCUGCUGGUGAUAUUUAUUUCUAAUUAAUGAAGUAAAUUAAUAUAUAUUCAGUUUACUAUAAUUAAAUACCUCAUACUCGAGACAAAAAAACAUGUAUUGAAUAUCGCAGUGAUAUUCCUGUUCUACACAAUGCGUAUAAACCCUCGAACCAUCUGUCUUUUGAAAGAUUGUACAUUUUGUAUACACAAUGGCAUUCAUUUCAACACUAUUUAACCACAAUUAUAAUCUAGAGAUCCUGAACAUAUUUUCGUUCUGUUAUUUAUGGACAAGGCAGACUGGUCCAGCAUUAAAAUGUAAACCCUAAUUAGAAUACUUAAACGAGCUAUGCAAUUAAAUGUUGUUAGACAAAUAUUUUAUA